CUAGAGGCCCCCCGCCGCCGUGGAAACCCAAAAGGGGGAAGAGUUCGCCACCGCGUGUGCUCUACCGUAAAGCUAGUCACGGAUGGUCGCAGAAGGAAUGGAGUUCCUACUGGAUGCGGUUGACAGGUUCCCGGUGCGGGAGGAGUUUGCUGACAGUCUUGACAACCCAGAUCCGGUCCCGCUCGCGUACCUUCUGGAGAAGGGCGGUGCAAAUCCGGAGUUUGGACGGGGAGAAGACCACUCUGGGAUUGCUGAUAUCCUGUGCGACGGUGUGCUAACUGACGCCCAAGGGGGUGCCCAUCAACGGCGUGUUGAGUCUCCGAUGAGGUCGGCCCAAUCGACGGGCAGGGUUAAUCCAGAGGCCCCGGGCUGGACCAAAAGGCUUCGUCUUGGAAGUGCGCCACCUGACCGUGUGCCAUGUCCAUCAAGAAUGAGCGCUCUAGAGCUGUCGAUAAGGAAAUAUGCUGAGCAACCUGACAAGAGCGUGGUGCGACCUGAGCUAGGGCUUAGUUUCGAUUCGUUAGGAGAGACGUAUGAUUUCUACAACUUAUAUUCAUGGAAAAUUGGAUUUGGGAUAAGAUAUGGGAAAAGCAGGCUGAACGCCGAGAGAACAAAAAGCAUGCAGAAGAUAGUAUAUGCGGUUGCUCGGUGAGUAUCUGUUUGCUUGUAUGUAUAAUAAGAAGCGGCAGUGUACUGGUUGGUGUUCCAACCUGAAGUUGAUGAAUUUGAAUCAGCUUGGGGGGCACUGCUGGACAAGUACAACUUGAGGUCUCAUAGCUAUAUGACACAAAUAUACGAGACAAGGAAAAAAUGGGCAAAGCCAUAUUUCAGGGGUGUGUUCUGUGCGAAGAUGACAAGUACCCAGCGAAGUGAGAGCGCAAACCACAUGCUGAAAUCUUACAUGACGCCUGCGAGCCGAAUGCAUGUUUUCGUCUGGCAAUACACGAGACUUCAAUUUGACCGGGAACGCGACGAAAGCUAUGAGGAAAAGAGGACCAUGAUUGUAAGUAGUUUUCUGCCAUUACGAAUCUUUUCGCUAUGAAUUUGCUGCUGCUUGGUAGAUUGUGCUCGUGGAAUGACUAAUACCGCCUGGAAAAUUUCCUUGUUGGCAGGGAGGCGCCGUCCGGCGGACUAACCUUGCGAUUGAGCGGCACACCAGCAAAAUAUAUACCAGGAAUAUGUUUGAGGAAUUUGGCCGGCUGCUUUUAGAAGGGACGGCAUACAACGUCACUGAAGUUGAGAGGAUGAAGAAAUACAUCACAACACACAAUAAUGCAGGCAAGAGAGAGAAGUGGAGCAGAGUGGAAUAUGAGGUGACCAUCAACGAUGACAAAUCAAUAUUCACGUGCGAGUGUGGUCAGUUUGAACACACAAGGAUGCUUUGCUGCCAUGCCUUAAGGGUGAGGUGAUGGAGAUUCUACAUUUGGACGAGAUUCCGAAGCACCAUAUCCUUAAACGGUGGACAAGAGACGCAAGGGAUAUACUCCUAGAUCACCUGGUUCAGUACCAGAAGGACAAAGCACAUAAUUUGUCUUUCACAUGCAGACACGCGAGGCUAUACUUUAAGGCCAUGGAGGUAGUGCGAAUGGGGGACGCAAGCACUGCAUGCUAUGAGCACAUGCAUGCUGGCCUGGAUUCUCUUCUACGUUCUGGAGCACCUCUGGCGGUCACAAGGGACGGUUUGGCUUUCGAGGAUCGUCUCAUUCAAAAUGGAAAUGGCUGUCAGGCUGCGAAUGGCGAGCCUGCUUUGGUUGAUCAUGGAGCUGAACCAUGCCACAGUGCUGCGAAUUCUGUAAAUGCGAAUGCCCUGCAGUGCCUCGAGGCUCCAGACAAGCGUAGAGGUGCUGGCAGGCCGACGAACAGUAGGGAGAAGGCCCCGUACGAAGGGCUGAGUAAGAGAACCAGGUUCUGCAGCAUUUGCUGCCGUGAGGGUCACGAGAGGAGCACAUGCCCAGAGAGAGGGGAUGCGCCAAAGAAGUCGCGGAAACCCGGCAGAUGCAAGAACUGCGGCAUAGAAGGGCAUCGGCGGGAUACAUGCAAGAGGCCUCUUGGGUUUGCCGAGAGCUGAGUUGUGCAAUUUUUGGGUUGCAUCAGUUGAGGUUACCUGUUUCCUUUGAGGCUAAACAUACAGUCUGCACCUGUUGAGCGUUGCUUGCGCAUUGCAUCCAGUUUCCUUUAAUAAUGUGUGCUGACAAAAAACUUUUUACGACUGAGGAACUUUGUGGCUAUAUGUAAUGAUAUGAACCUGUAUCGCCGAUCAUGUAAGAAUGUUUUAUUGCUGUGUGAACAUUUGAAUUUAACUGCA